ACAGCUUCUCAUCUUUUGGCUAAUUUCAAGUGUAGCAUGUGUUCUUACCAGUUUAAUAUCUGGUGUGUCCUUUAUCUAACAGUAAUAUAUUCAAUGGAUUUUUUUUUUUUUUUUGUGGAAACAGAAAGACUCUUCUCUGUCUAUCCCAUGCAUCCACCUGGUAGUACCGUGCCUCCAAGAAUAACGCACUUCAU